UAAGACAGCUAGUUGCUAAACUAGCUAGCAGCUAAUAUCUGCUAUAAACUCGGGUUAAACUCAUACAAACAGACAAGUUGACGGUAGAAGUAAACUUAGAGGAAACAUACAGAAAAGAAAAUAUGGAAUGAAAUGAUGGACCUGUCAGUUUAUGUCGCGUGAAACAGAAGACUGCUAGCUUCAGGCUAACUCACGUUAGCUUCACAAGCUAGCCGACAUCACCUGAGCAGAUUGGUUCCAAAUAAAAGGAAAUCCAAAAUGUCUCAGUGGAUCUGCUGCAACUCCUGCUUUUAUCCACCCUCCUCCGAGCGCAGACUGGCCCUCACGACGUGCGGACAUGUCAUCUGCAGCCUUUGCCACCACAAAGGUAAACGAGGCGAGUGUUUAAUAUGCAGGGGCCGAUGUCAUGUGUCGCCUCUUACUGACCAA